rnacentral:rRNA from 1 species
UACGGGGGGGCAAGCGUUGUUCGGAAUUACUGGGCGUAAAGGGCUCGUAGGCGGCCAACUAAGUCAUACGUGAAAUCCCUGGGCUACAACCCAGGAACUGCGUCCGAUACUGGCAGGCUUGAAUUCGGGAGAGGGAUGCGGAAUUCCAGGUGUAGCGGUGAAAUGCGUAGAUAUCAGGAGGAACACCGGUGGCGAAGGCGGGGUCUCUGGGCCGAAAUUGACGCUGAGGAGCGAAAGCGUGGGGAGCAAACAGG